rnacentral:rRNA from 1 species
CAGUCGCCACGGGAAUACGUAGGUGGCAAGCGUUGUCCGGAAUUAUUGGGCGUAAAGGGCUCGCAGGCGGUUUCUUAAGUCUGAUGUGAAAGCCCCCGGCUCAACCGGGGAGGGUCAUUGGAAACUGGGAAACUUGAGUGCAGAAGAGGAGAGUGGAAUUCCACGUGUAGCGGUGAAAUGCGUAGAGAUGUGGAGGAACACCAGUGGCGAAAGCGGCUCUCUGGCUUGUAACUGACGCUGAGGCUCGAAAGCGUGGGGAGCAAACAGGAUUAGAUACCCGGGUAGUCCCUGUCUCUUAUAC